UCCGGGGUCAGAAUGAAUCCGACUUAGAAACUAGGCUGCUCCAGGUCAAAGUGGGUCCGACUUAAACCGAACUGGGUCCCGUGUGAGACCUCGGUGAAUUAAAAUUUGUUUUAAGGCUGAACAAGUAGGUUGAGUUUACCACAGAUAGUCUUGAAUUACAGCGGCUGCAGUGGAGAAAUUUGAACCGUCUUAGACAGUGCACAUCAUGGAUUGCCUAUGCUGCAGAUGGACUGCUCCCACUGCUUCGUCUUUGACUUGCCUCUACCAGUCACCGAUGCCCUUUUUGUGUGGGUGAAUCAUAGGCCAUACACUGUCAUCUCUGUGCAACAUUCUUGAGUUUGGUGCAUACCUGUGAUUGUCAAGGUUCUGCAAUGGGAGGGAUUGGCUAAGGAAGAAAAGUUCAAAACCACCCGCGGAGAGAGUUCAGAUGAAGACUUGGACCCUGGGGAGUUCUCCUUGAUGGGGAACUCAGCUGCUGAGAAGUUGCUCAAGGCUUAGGUGAGAAGGAAAAGACUGCUCAGGUCAUGACCAGAGAGCUCGGUUUUGGAGCCCCAGACUGCUGGUGAGCUACACAUACAACAGCCCAUGCUGUCUCAUUUGUCAUUGUUUUUUGUGUGCAGAGCUGCUUCAAGAACUUCAUUUUUCAAAAAGUGAUUGGCAAGGCCUUCCUUGGGCAUGCUCUCUUCCCUGCCUAUAACACAGAGUGCCAGCACAGUCCCUCUAAUAUUCAUCUGUGUGUGUUAUAGACAAGAUUUUAACACUUCUUUAAUUAAAAAUAGUGACAUAAAAUAUU